GACGGGUUGAUAGGGGUAAAUAAAACACCUGCAAAGGAAAUAGCCCCAGCCGUCUUUGAGCGGUAGUUGAGACCCGUUGCCCUAUU
rnacentral:ncRNA from 1 species